rnacentral:rRNA from 1 species
CAGUCGCCGCGGGAAUACGUAGGGUGCAAGCGUUAAUCGGAAUUACUGGGCGUAAAGGGCUCGCAGGCGGUUUCUUAAGUCUGAUGUGAAAGCCCCCGGCUCAACCGGGGAGGGUCAUUGGAAACUGGGAAACUUGAGUGCAGAAGAGGAGAGUGGAAUUCCUCGUGUAGCGGUGAAAUGCGUAGAGAUGUGGAGGAACACCAGUGGCGAAGGCGACUCUCUGGUCUGUAACUGACGCUGAGGAGCGAAAGCGUGGGGAGCGAACAGGAUUAGAUACCCGUGUAGUCCCUGUCUCUUAUAC